GCGUGCUUAACACAUGCAAGUCGAACGGAAUUAGGGGCUUGCUCCUAAUUUAGUGGCGCACGGGUGAGUAACGCGUGGAUAACCUACCCUGGUAUCUGGGAUAACAUCUCGAAAGGGGUGCUAAUACCGGAUAAGCCCACGGGAACUUUGGUUCUUGCGGGAAAAGGUGGCCUCUAUUUAUAAGCUACUGUAUCAGGAUGGGUCCGCGUACCAUUAGCUAGUUGGUAGUGUAAUGGACUACCAAGGCUACGAUGGUUAGCUGGUCUGAGAGGAUGAUCAGCCACACUGGAACUGAGACACGGUCCAGACUCCUACGGGAGGCAGCAGUGGGGAAUUUUGCGCAAUGGGGGAAACCCUGACGCAGCAACGCCGCGUGAGUGAUGAAGGCCUUCGGGUCGUAAAGCUCUGUCAGAGGGGAAGAAGUGUAUGGGUGCUAAUACCGCUUAUACUUGACGGUACCCUCAAWGGAAGCACCGGCUAACUCCGUGCCAGCAGCCGCGGUAAUAC
rnacentral:rRNA from 1 species